rnacentral:rRNA from 1 species
UAGGAAUAUUGGACAAUGGGCGCAAGCCUGAUCCAGCCAUGCCGCGUGAGUGACGAAGGCCUUCGGGUUGUAAAACUCUUUAGCCGACGAUUAUAAUGACUGUAGUCGGAGAAUAAGCCCCGGCUAACUUCGUGCCAGCAGUCGCGGUAAUACGAAGGGGGCGAGCGUUAUUCGGAAUCACUGGGCGUAAAGCGUGCGUAGGCUGCUUUGCAAGUUGGGAGUGAAAGCCCGAGGCUCAACCUCGGAAUUGCUCUCAAAACUGCAAGGCUCGAAUCUCGGAGAGGAUAGCGGAAUUGUCAGUGUAGCAGUGAAAUGCGUAGAUAUUGACAGGAACACCAGUGGCGUAAGCGGCUAUCUGGACGAGUAUUGACGCUGAGGCACGAAAGCGUGGGGAUCAAAC